rnacentral:rRNA from 1 species
AUACGGAGGGUCCGAGCGUUAAUCGGAAUUACUGGGCGUAAAGCGCGCGUAGGCGGCUAUAUAAGUCAGAUGUGAAAUCCCUGGGCUCAACCUAGGAACUGCAUUUGAAACUGUAUGGCUAGAGUAUGGUAGAGGUGAGUGGAAUUUCAGGUGUAGCGGUGAAAUGCGUAGAGAUCUGAAGGAACAUCAGUGGCGAAGGCGACUCACUGGGCCAUUACUGACGCUGAGGUGCGAAAGCGUGGGUAGCAAACAGGAUUAGAAACCCCGGUAGUCC